GGCUACCUGGCGCAAUGGUAGCGCGUUUGGCUUCGAUGGCUUAACGGCAUGUUGCAUACCAAGAGGUUGCAGGUUCGAGCCCUGCGGUGGUCA
rnacentral:tRNA from 1 species